rnacentral:rRNA from 1 species
AUUGAACGCUGGCGGCAGGCCUAACACAUGCAAGUCGAGCGAGCGGCGGACGGGUGAGUAAUGUAUGGGGACUGCCCGAUAGAGGGGGAUAACUACUGGAAACGGUAGCUAAUACCGCAUACUAUCGGAUUACCCAGAUGGGAUUAGCUAGUAGGUGAGGUAACGGCUCACCUAGGCGACGAUCCCUAGCUGGUCUGAGAGGAUGAUCAGCCACACUGGGACUGAGACACGGCCCAGACUCCUACGGAGGCAGCAGUGGGGAAUAUUGCACAAUGGGCGCAAGCCUGAUGCAGCCAUGCCGCGUGUAUGAAGAAGGCCUUCGGGUUGUAAAGUACUUUAAGUGGGGAGGCGUUACCAGCAGAAGAAGCACCGGCUAACUCCGUGCCAGCAGCCGCGGUAAUUC